AUUCUUCUUCCCUUUAAAUAUUGGUACCUCCAAUUUCUAUAGCCUCAUGUCGAAGAGGGGCAUCUCUCGAUGAUUUGGUGCACACAGUACUCCAACUUCUUCAUCCCCAACCGGGGAGGUGAUUGUAGACAUAGGAAGGAUUGGGCAUCAAAAAGAACAAAGACCCAUGAAUUCUAUAAAUAAGUACCUCAACGUUGGUUCUCUUUGCAAAUCCAAUGAAGCUAUACAACCGUGAGAGAGAUUGAUUCGAUUUUCUAGGAUUCUUUCGGAGCAGAAUAAAAAAGCAACUAUGACGAAUUUGACUAGCAUUUAACAUUAGAAGCAAUAGGAGCAGAACUUUGCAACGGCGUUCUUGAAGCACUACAUACAGGAGAGAAAUUAAGGGUUUUUUUGUUGCAGUGCAGAAAGUAUGAGAGAAUUUUGAAAGGAGUGGGCCUUUAUAGCCAUUAAGGAUGAUGUCUAAUUGCUCGUUGUCUUGAAGACUUGGCAAAGGAGUCGGAAUCAAUCAGCAUUGAGGAUGGUCAUGGGCCCAUUGCAGAGGGAUGGCAGUCAACCAUGUUGAGGAUGAGGCUAGAAUUUUGUUUGAAGUAGAGACAAUGGAGGAAACGACAGCCAAGGCAACCAUAAUGAAGAGACUAAGAGAAGCUUGCAAUUUCCAAGGGGAAAGAGAGAAAGUGAAAUGAAAAGGGAAAUGCCAAUUAAAAGUGAAUUUAACUUUUAAAUGAGAAGGAAAUGUAAAUUUCAACUGGCGCCUAUUUUUUCUACAUCUUUUCAAUAGCUGUUUUUUUCUUCCUUCUUUUGGUAACCAAUGGCUAUUGUUGCUGUAGUGUCUGUUUACAGCCAACAAGACUGAUAAAUCCCCUAACUAAUUACCGAUACACUCUUCAUAACAUUCCUAUCAUUAUGGAUAUUGAUAUAGUGAUCUGACUUUUCACCCUA